rnacentral:rRNA from 1 species
CCUACGGGAGGCAGCAGUGAGGAAUAUUGGUCAAUGGGCGCGAGCCUGAACCAGCCAAGUAGCGUGAAGGAUGACUGCCCUACGGGUUGUAAACUUCUUUUAUAAAGGAAUUACGUGAGGCACGUGUGCCUUUUUGUAUGUACUUUAUGAAUAAGGAUCGGCUAACUCCGUGCCAGCAGCCGCUGUAAUACGGAGGAUCCGAUCGUUAUCCGGAUUUAGUGGGUUUCAAGGGAGCGUCGAUGGGUUGGUAAGUCAGUUGUGAAAGUUUGCGGCUCAACCGUAAAAUUGCAAUUGAUACUGGCAGUCUUGAGUACAGUUGAGGUAGGCGGAAUUCGUGGUGUAGCGGUGAAAUGCUUAGAUAUCACGAAGAACUCCGAUUGCGAAGGCAGCUUACUAAACUGCCACUGACAUUGAUGCUCGAAAGUGUGGGUAUCAAACAGGAUUAGAUACCCCAGUAGUC